rnacentral:rRNA from 1 species
UAAUACGGAGGGUGCAAGCGUUAAUCGGAAUUACUGGGCGUAAAGCGCACGUAGGCGGCGAGUUAGGCUAGCUGUGAAAGCCCCGGGCUCAACCUGGGAACUGCAGUUAGAACUGGCUGGCUAGAGUACGGUAGAGGAGUGUGGAAUUUCCUGUGUAGCGGUGAAAUGCGUAGAUAUAGGAAGGAACAUCAGUGGCGAAGGCGACACUCUGGACUGAUACUGACGCUGAGGUGCGUAAGCGUGGGGAGCAAACAGGAUUAGAUACCCUGGUAGUCCACGCCGUAAACGAUGUCUACUAGCCGUUGGGAGCCUUGAGCUCUUAGUGGCGCAGCUAACGCACUAAGUAGACCGCCUGGGGAGUACGGCCGCAAGGUUA